AGUUAUAAGUGGCAGAAAAUAUGCGUAGGAGUUAAGAUCCUAAGACAGUAUUAAAUAGCUUGGUGAAAAAG
rnacentral:tRNA from 1 species